CACCGCGGUUAUACGAGAGACCCAGGUUGAUGGCCCUCGGCGUAAAGAGUGGUUAGGAGACAUUUUAAACUAAAGACAAACGACCCCAAAGCAGUUAUACGCACAUGAAGGUACGAAGAUCAUCCACGAAAGUGACUUUAAACCCCUGAACCCACGAAAGCUAAGGAA
rnacentral:rRNA from 1 species